UCUAAACUGCAUGUUUCUAUUUUGCUUCAGGUGCAUUGUUUCUUUUCAUUGAAUUGUAAAUAAUUUUAUUGAAUUGCAAUAAUGUAAAUGUAUUGCAUACAGCUUAAUGUAAUGAACUCCUAAUGAAGUGAAAAGAUAAAACUGUGUAUAUAAUUUUGAUUUCUAAAAUUAUUUUUUCUUAGCUUUAGAACGUGUGGAUGAAGAUAAAGUGUAUAUUCUUGGUGGUUUAGUGGAUGAAAGCAUACAAAAGAAAAUAAGUUACAAAAGAGCGAAAGAGCUUGGAGUCCACACAGUGAGACUGCCUAUUGAUGAAUACAUGGUGAAGAAGUCCAACCCCAAAAACUUCCACUCCAAAAUUUUGGCAAUCAACCAAGUGUUUGAGGUCUUGCUGGCUUUUUGUGAGACCAAAGAUUGGACUACAGCUCUUGCUUCUGGUAUCCCACCUGGAAAGGGUUACGUGGUGACUUCACUGAUGUCCUCAGAGGUUGGACAAUGAUUGGCCCUCCAGAGCAGCAGGAAAUCAGUGACAUUCUUUGGUCACCCAGAGUUUGAGGCCAUGACCAAUGCAAAGUGACCAUGUUUGCACAGUAUAUUUAUUACAUAGUCACCGUAACUGUAUUACAGUAUGCCUGCCGUGUUUGUCAGGGUGGAGGUGUUACUUGAAUUGCUAAUAUUUAAAAUAUUUUGCUGUAUCUUUUGUUUACCAUUUUUACUUGAUUCUCAGGAAUAGUUUACAUACAAAAUGUCUAUUAACUCAACAUUUGUUGAGCGUUAAAUAAAGCUAUUGAAUCAUAACACUGAUGUUCUAAUGUCUUG